CCUACGGGGGGCAGCAGUAGGGAAUCUUUCACAAUGGGCGAAAGCCUGAUGGAGCAACGCCGCGUGCAGGAUGAAGGCCUUCGGGUUGUAAACUGCUUUUAUAAGCGAGAAAUAUGAUGGUAACUUAUGAAUAAGGAUCGGCUAACUACGUGCCAGCAGCCGCGGUCAUACGUAGGAUCCGAGCAUUAUCCGGAGGGACUGGGUGUAAAGAGUUGCGUAGGUGGCAUAAUAAGUAGCUAGUGAAAACUGGUGGAUCAAACAUUCAGACUAUUAGCGAAACUGUUAAGCUCGAGACCGUUAGAGGUAAGUGGAAUUUCUAGUGUAGGGGUGAAAUGCGUAGAGAUUAGGAGGAACACCAAUGGCGUAGGCAGGUUACUGGGACGGUUCUGACGCUAAGGCACGAAAGCGUAGGGAGCAAACGGGAUUAGAUACCCCAGUAGUC
rnacentral:rRNA from 1 species